rnacentral:lncRNA from 1 species
GUGUCCAACUAAUGCAGAAUAUAUUCAAGCUGCCAACACACUGGUUUUGAAGAACCCUUUCCAUUGAAAUAUAGAAAGAAAUGACUGUGAAGGUUGUGUUGGGGAGGAUUCAAUGUCUGUUGAGGCACAUGAGAAUGUGAUACAAAGUGAGUAUCAGAAACACAUCCAGACACAUGGACUGUCAAAGACCACACGACAGGAACAUUCUCCUGGAGAUGCUGAGAAAGCACGGAAGGAAUGUCUGAGGAGGAUGUACUCAAGAAAAUACACAUACUCAAGGACACCUGCUGGAGUAUGGUUGACUGGAAGUCUGUCAGUCCAGAUGUGAGGAAGACAUACAGAGUUGAGCUGGAGCUCAGCAGAUGUGUGAUGGCUGUGGAUACUGUGGUCUUGGAAAGAAGGGCAUCUUCACAGCUUUCUAUUCAGACAAAGAGUUUGAUGGAUUCUGUUCUAUGGACUGCUACUACAGAUCUAUCUAUCUAUCUUUUUACUUGAAUUGGUGACUGAAAUUGAAAGCUAAAUAAAUGUUCUAGUGGAUAAAGUUGUGUCUGUUUGCUUAAUUGGUUAAUGUCACUUAAAACAAGGUUACUAAACUCUUCUGACUAAUUUUUAAAUGUAUUAAUUUUAUUUAUUUUUUUACAAAUUUUUCUCCAUCAGGCAAAACCUAGUUUUCUAGUGUAACACUUUACAAUAAAGUUUCAUUUGUUGACUGAUGUAUUAACCAGAGGUGGGACUUUCAAGUCACAAGCAAGUCUUCAAGUCAUAUGGAGCCAAAAGAGUCUCAAUAAAGAUAAAUGCACACACUACAUUCACAUAUGCACACAAAAUUUACAAAUGCACAAACACAAAAUUUAAAAAGCACAGAAGAUUCACAAAUGCAUACAAAAUUCAGAAAUACACACACAAUUCAGAAAUGCAAACAACAUUUACAAGUGCACUCAAGAUUCACAAAUGCACAGGACAAGAUUCAGAAAUGAAUUUCUGUUGAACACACACAUAUAUCUUGAUUUACAAACUGCUUGCGGUCUGUGAACUUCACUGCAUUUGUGUGUGAAUUUUGAGACUCCUCUGACUUGGCUCGACUCACAAAUGCUUUUUUUUUUAAAACAUGGAAUUAUCAGCAACCAAUCAGAUAUCUCCCUUGUUUUAGCUAAUCACAAGAACGCACUCCAAGUGAGGGAUUGUUUACUUAUAAGCCAAUCACAUGAACGCGUUUACACAGCGCGAUAUGCCUGUGGUGCAGCAUAUUAUAGCCUACUUAUUUAUGCAAUUGUAUGAAAAUACAGAUCUUUAGAUUACAAUUCAGUUUUUUUUUUUAUAUAAAUUAAAAAAUGUCUCAAUACAUAUAGCCCAGUGACUGCAGAAAAAAAGUUAACCAUGGAUUCAUAAAUUUGCAAUAGGCAAUUAUUUCAUAUUUUUGAAUAUUUAAAUAUAUCUAAAUAUUAUUUUGGAUGCAAUAUAGAAGUCA